rfam:Erinaceus europaeus unplaced genomic scaffold scaffold00826, whole genome shotgun sequence
UACCUGGUCGAUCCUGCCAGUAGCAUAUGCUUGUCUCAAAGAUUAAACUAUGUAUGUCUAAGUAUGCAUGGCCAGUACAGUGAAACUGGGAAUGGCUCAUUAAAUUGGUUAUGGUUCCUUUGGUCAUUCACUCCUUUCCUACUUGGAUAACUGUGGUUAUAUGAGAGCUAAUACAUGUCAACGGGCACUGACCCCCAUUGGGGGGCAGUGUGUGUAUUUAUCAGAUCAAAACAACCCAGUCAGCCUCCACCCAGCAGGGGUGGGGUGGGUGGACACCAGUGGCUUUGGUAACUCUAGGUAGCCUCCACAGAUUGCAUGCCCCCCCAGGGUUUAAUUCCCAAGAGGGAGCCUGAGAAAUGGCUACCACAUCUAAGUAAAGCAGCAGGCAUGCAAAUUACCCAAUCCCGACCAGGGGAGGUAGUGACAGAAAAUAACAAUACAGGACUCUUUCAAGGACCUGUAAUUGGAAUGAGUCCACUUUAAAUCCUUUAAUGAAGAUCCAUUGGAGGGCAAGUCUGGUGCCAGCAGCCAUGGUAAUUCCAGCUCCAAUACUGUAUAUUAAAGUUGCUGCAGUUAAAAAGCUCAUAGUUGGAUCUUGAGAGAGGAUGGGUGGUCAGACGCGAGGUGAGCCACCAUCCGUCCCCACCCCUUCCUCUUGGCUCCCCCUUGAUGCUCUUAGCUGAGUGUCCCAUGGCCCGAAGUGUUUACUUUGAAAAAAUUAAGAGUGUUCAAAGCAGGUCUGAGCUGCCUGGAUACUGCAGCUAGGAAUAAUGGAAUAGGACCGCGGUUCUAUUUUGUUGGUUUUCGGAACUGAGACUAUGAUUAAGAGAGAGGGCUCAGGGCAUUCAUAUUGCACAGCUAGAGUGAAAUUCUUGGACCGGCACAAGACUGACCAGAGAAAAAGCAUUUGCAAAGAAUGUUUUCAUUAAUCAAGAACGAAAGUCGGAGGUUCGAAGACGAUCAGAUACGGUCAUAAUUCUGACCAUAAACAAUGCCUACUGGCGGUGUGGUGGCAUUAUUCCCAUGACCCUCUGUCUGGGAAGCUUCCAGGUAACCAAAGUCUGUGUUCUGGGGGGAGUAUGGUUGCAAAGCUGAAACUUAAAUGAAUUGACAGAAGGGCACCACCAGGAGUGGAGCCUGCAGCUUAAUUUUACUCAACACGGAAAACCUCACCUGGCCUGGACUUGGACAGGAUUGACAGAUAGAUAGCUUUUUCUAAAUUCCAUGGGUGGUAGUGCAUGACCGUUCUGAGUUGGUGGAGCAAUUUGUCUGGUUAAUUCUGAUAACGAAUGAGACUCUUGCAUGCUAACUAGUUAUGCGACCCCUGAGCGGUUGGCGUCCCCUGACUUCUUAGAGAGACAAGUGGCGUUCAGCCACCCGAGAUUGAGCAAUAACAGGUCUCUGAUGCCCUUAGGUGUCCCGGGCUGCACAUGUGCACUACACUGACUGGAUCAGUCAGUGGACUGGAUCGGUGCCUACCCUAGGCUGGCAGGUGCAGGAAACUCAUUGAAUCCCAUUCUUGAUGGGGAUUGGGGAGUGCAAUUAUUCCUCAUGAACAAGUAAUUCCCAGUAAGUGCAGGUCAUAAGCUUGCAUUGAUUAAAUCUCUGCCCUUUGUACACACUCUACUACUGAUUGGAUAGUUUAGUGAGGCCCUCGGAUUGGUCCCACUAGGGUCAGCCCACAGCCCUGGCAGAGCUCUGAGAAGACAGUCAAACUUGACUAUCUAGAGGAAGUAAAAGUCCUAACAAGGUUUCCGUAGGUGAACUUGUGGAAAGAUCAUUA